UACGGAGGGUGCGAGCGUUGUUCGGAAUUACUGGGCGUAAAGCGCGUGUAGGCGGCCUUUUAAGUCUGGUGUGAAAGCCCGGGGCUCACCCCCGGAAGUGCACUGGAUACUGAGAGGCUCGAGUACCGGAGAGGAGGGUGGAAUUCCUGGUGUAGCGGUGAAAUGCGUAGAGAUCAGGAGGAACACCGGUGGCGAAGGCGGCCCUCUGGACGGAUACUGACGAUGAGACGCGACAGAGUGGGGAGCAAACAGG
rnacentral:rRNA from 1 species